UACCAGCACCCCGAGUGGUCGGGACGAUUAUUGGGCCUAAAGCGUCCGUAGCUGGCUUGUUAGAUGCCUGGGUAAAUCGAUGCGCUCAACGUAUCGAAUUCCGGGUAGACCGGCAAGCUCGAGACCGGGAGAGGCGUGAGCUACUCGAGGGGUAGGGGUAAAAUCCUGUAAUCCUUCGGGGAGGACCAGUGGCGAAGGCGUCACGCUAGAACGGCUCUGACAGUGAGGGACGAAGCCCUGGGGCGCAAACCGG
rnacentral:rRNA from 1 species